CUCAGUUAGGACCCAGAGGGAACCAUGGAAGCCCCAGCUCAGCUUCUCUUCCUCCUGCUACUCUGGCUCCCAGAUACCACCGGAGAAAUUGUGUUGACACAGUCUCCAGCCACCCUGUCUUUGUCUCCAGGGGAAAGAGCCACCCUCUCCUGCAGGGCCAGUCAGAGUGUUAGCAGCUACUUAGCCUGGUACCAACAGAAACCUGGCCAGGCUCCCAGGCUCCUCAUCUAUGAUGCAUCCAACAGGGCCACUGGCAUCCCAGCCAGGUUCAGUGGCAGUGGGUCUGGGACAGACUUCACUCUCACCAUCAGCAGCCUAGAGCCUGAAGAUUUUGCAGUUUAUUACUGUCAGCAGCAACUUUGUUACUUAAACACCAUCCUGUUUGCUUCUUUCCUCAGGAACUGUGGCUGCACCAUCUGUCUUCAUCUUCCCGCCAUCUGAUGAGCAGUUGAAAUCUGGAACUGCCUCUGUUGUGUGCCUGCUGAAUAACUUCUAUCCCAGAGAGGCCAAAGUACAGUGGAAGGUGGAUAACGCCCUCCAAUCGGGUAACUCCCAGGAGAGUGUCACAGAGCAGGACAGCAAGGACAGCACCUACAGCCUCAGCAGCACCCUGACGCUGAGCAAAGCAGACUACGAGAAACACAAAGUCUACGCCUGCGAAGUCACCCAUCAGGGCCUGAGCUCGCCCGUCACAAAGAGCUUCAACAGGGGAGAGUGUUAGAGGGAGAAGUGCCCCCACCUGCUCCUCAGUUCCAGCCUGACCCCCUCCCAUCCUUUGGCCUCUGACCCUUUUUCCACAGGGGACCUACCCCUAUUGCGGUCCUCCAGCUCAUCUUUCACCUCACCCCCCUCCUCCUCCUUGGCUUUAAUUAUGCUAAUGUUGGAGGAGAAUGAAUAAAUAAAGUGA
rnacentral:lncRNA from 1 species